CUGGAGAUAAUACCUGAUAGAGGAUAAAUACUGGAAGGUUUUAUUCUUCAAAGCUUCGGCACCUGAGGACGGGACUGCGUCGGAUUAGCUUGUUGUCGGGAUAAUUACCCGACAAGGCGAUAAUCCGUACGGGUUGUGAGAGCAAUAGCCCGGAGAUGGAUUCUGAGACAUGAAUCCAGGUCCUACGGGACGCAGCAGGCGCGAAACCUUCACAAUGCCUGAAAGGGUGAUGAGGGAACUCUGAGUGACUUCGCAAUGCGAAGUCUUUUGCCAAGUGCAAAAAGCUCGGUGAAUAAGUGGUGGGCAAGACAGUUGCCAGCCGCCGCGGUAAUAACUGCGCCACGAGUGGUGAUCUCGUUUAUUGGGCUUAAAGCGUUCGUAGCCGGUUUUAUAAGCAUCUGGUGAAAUCCGAUAGUAAACUAUUGGGCUGGCUAGGUGUACUGUAAGACUAGGGACCGGUAGGGGCCGGGAGUACUCCUAGGGUAGGGGUUAAAUCCUUUAAUCCUAGGGGGACUACCAGUGGCGAAGGCGCCCGGCUAGAACGGGUCCGACGGUGAGGGACGAAAGCUGGGGGAGCGAUCCGGAUUAGAUACCCGGGUAGUCCCAGCUGUAAACGAUGCCCGCUUGGUGUGGUGAAACUUUCGUGGUUUUGCCGUACCGUAGCGAAA
rnacentral:rRNA from 1 species